rnacentral:rRNA from 1 species
AGGUGUAGCGUAUGGAGGGGGAAGAAAUGGGCUACAUUCCCUGCUACGGGGAAUUACGAACGAUACUCUGAAAUAAGUAUCUAAAGGAGGAUUUAGCAGUAAGCAGAAAAUAGAGCGUUCCGCUGAAACCGGCCCUGAAGCGCGCACACACCGCCCGUCACUCUCCCCGAGCUUACAAACUCAACUAACUAAGACCUAACAACUGCAAAGGGGAGGCAAGUCGUAACAUGGUAAGUGUACCGGAAGGUGCACUUGGAAAAAU